rnacentral:rRNA from 1 species
AGGACGAACGCUGGCGGCGUGCCUAACACAUGCAAGUGGAGCGACGAACCAGGCUUCGGCCUGGGGCAGAGCCGCGAACGGGUGAGUAACACGUGGGUAACCUGCCCUGAUGAUUGGGACAACCCGAGGAAACUCGGGCUAAUACCGAAUGUGCCCUCCGGCCUCAAGGCCGCUGGGGAAAGGAAGCUUCGGCCUCCGCAUCGGGAUGGGCCCGCGGCCCAUUAGCUUGUUGGUGAGGUAACGGCUCACCAAGGCAACGAUGGGUAGCUGGUCUGAGAGGACGAUCAGCCACACUGGGACUGAGAUACGGCCCAGACUCCUACGGGAGGCAGCAGUGGGGAAUAUUGCGCAAUGGGCGGAAGCCUGACGCAGCAACGCCGCGUGCGGGAGGAAGGCCUUCGGGUCGUAAACCGCUUUCAGGGGGGACGAAGCCACCAGGGUUAAUAGCCCAUGGGGUGACGGUACUCCCAGAAGAAGCCCCGGCUAACUACGUGCCAGCAGCCGC